rnacentral:rRNA from 1 species
CCUACGGGAGGCAGCAGUGAGGAAUAUUGGACCAUGGGCGCUAGCCUGAACCAGCCAAGUAGCGUGAAGGAUGACUGCCCUAUGGGUUGUAAACUUCUUUUAUAUGGGAAUAAAGUGCAGUAUGUAUACUGCUUUGCAUGUACCUUAUGAAUAAGGAUCGGCUUACUCCGUGCCAGCAGCCGCGGUAAUACGGAGGAUCCGAGCGUUAGGCGGAUUUAUGGGGUGUAAAGGGAGCGUAGGCGGGUUGUUAAGUCAGUUGUGAAAGUUUGCGGCUCAACCGUAAAAUUGCAGUUGAUACUGGCAUCCUGGAGUACAGUAGAGGUAGGCGGAAUUCGUGGUGUAGCGGUGAAAUGCUUAGAUAUCACGAAGAACUCCGAUGGCGAAGGCAGCCUGCUGGACUGUAACUGACGCUGAUGCUCGAAAGUGUGGGUAUCAAACAGGAUUAGAUACCCUUGUAGUC